rnacentral:tRNA from 1 species
GGGCAUAGCUCAGUGGUAAAGUGCAUGCUUAGCAUGCAUGAAGCUCUGGAUUCUAUCCUUGGCUUUUGCCCA